rnacentral:lncRNA from 1 species
UAGAUCUCUGUCCUGAGAUACAGCAACAGGAUGUGCCUUGGAGAAGACAGGUGAAAUUGAGAGAGAGAUUUAUGCAUAUUCCCCACCCAGUCCAAUGUACUGCUUAAAUGAAAAUUAGCCUGAACUUUCGGGAGUAUCCAAGGAUUCUGAAGGUUCUGUUGGUCUGCAAGUAAGCUGGGGCAUACAAGGAGACCUUUGAGGUCGCUUCCAGGACAUCCCAUCUUUCAUAUGGGGAGUAUAUGCAAGAC